UCCGUAGGUGAACCUGCGGAAGGAUCAUUACCUAGAGUUGUAGGCUUUGCCUGCUAUCUCUUACCCAUGUCUUUUGAGUACCUUACGUUUCCUCGGCGGGUCCGCCCGCCGAUUGGACAAUUUAAACCAUUUGCAGUUGCAAUCAGCGUCUGAAAAAACUUAAUAGUUACAACUUUCAACAACGGAUCUCUUGGUUCUGGCAUCGAUGAAGAACGCAGCGAAAUGCGAUAAGUAGUGUGAAUUGCAGAAUUCAGUGAAUCAUCGAAUCUUUGAACGCACAUUGCGCCCCUUGGUAUUCCAUGGGGCAUGCCUGUUCGAGCGUCAUUUGUACCUUCAAGCUCUGCUUGGUGUUGGGUGUUUGUCUCGCCUCUGCGUGUAGACUCGCCUCAAAACAAUUGGCAGCCGGCGUAUUGAUUUCGGAGCGCAGUACAUCUCGCGCUUUGCACUCAUAACGACGACGUCCAAAAGUACAUUUUUACACUCUUGACCUCGGAUCAGGUAGGGAUACCCGCUGAACUUAAGCAUAUCAAUAAGCGGAGGA
rnacentral:rRNA from 8 species